rnacentral:rRNA from 1 species
GACAGAGGUGGCGAGCGUUGUUCGGAUUUAUUGGGCGUAAAGCGAACGCAGGCGGUUUGGUAAGUCAGAGGUGAAAGCCCACAGCUUAACUGUGGCACUGCCUUUGAUACUGCCUUUCUUGAGUACAGUAGGGGGAAGCGGAAUUCCGAGUGUAGAGGUGAAAUUCGUAGAUAUUCGGAGGAACACCGGUGGCGAAGGCGGCUUCCUGGACUGUAACUGACGCUCAUGUUCGAAAGCGUGGGGAGCAAACAGG